rnacentral:rRNA from 1 species
CCUACGGGUGGCAGCAGUGAGGAAUAUUGGUCAAUGGGCUUACGCCUGAACCAGCCAAGUCGCGUGAGGGAAGACUGCCCUAUGGGUUGUAAACCUCUUUUGUCAGGGAGCAACGCCGGCUACGUGUAGCCGGACUGAGAGUACCUGAAGAAAAAGCAUCGGCUAACUCCGUGCCAGCAGCCGCGGUACUACGGAGGAUGCGAGCGUUAUCCGGAUUUAUUGGGUUAAAAGGGUGCGUAGGCGGAAUGCCAAGUCAGCGGGAAAAUCGCGGGGCUCAACCUCGCUCCGCCGUUGAAACUGGCGUUCUUGAGUGGGCGAGAAGUAGGCGGAAUGCGUGGUGUAGCGGUGAAAUGCAUAGAUAUCACGCAGAACCCCGAGUGCGAAGGCAGCUUGCUGCAGCGGAACUGACGCUGAUGCUCGAAAGCGCGGGUAUCGAACAGGAUUAGAUACCCUAGUAGUC